AUUGAACGCUAGCGGGAUGCCUUACACAUGCAAGUCGAACGGAGUGGCGGACGGGUGAGUAAUGUAUCGGAACGUGCCCAGUAGCGGGGGACAACACCGCGAAAGCGUAGCUAAUACCGCAUACUAUUGGAGCGGCCGAUAUCGGAUUAGCUAGUUGGUGGGGUAAAGGCUCACCAAGGCGACGAUCCGUAGCUGGUUUGAGAGGAGGACCAGCCACACUGGGCCUUGGACAGGGCCCAGACUCCUCCGGGAGGCAGCAGUGGGGAUUUUUGGACAUUGGGGGAAACCCUGAUCCAGCCAUCCCGCGUGUGCGAUGAAGGCCUUCGGUUUGUAAAGAACUUUUGGCAGGAAAGCGGUACCUGCAGAAUAAGCACCGGCUAACUACGUGCCAGCCGCCGCGGUAAUAC
rnacentral:rRNA from 1 species